rnacentral:lncRNA from 1 species
AGGAGCAUCUACGCGGGGGUCGUCGUAGCUUAACAGCCUGGUGCCAGUUACCCUGCGAUGGGAGAGGGGGCAGCCCCCAUAGAAGCACGGGCUUAUGGGACCCGGGUUCCUUCAGUGCUCACCCACGAAGAAGGGCUCCCAAACGGCCCCACUCGACGGCUCACCGGAGGAUGGUCCUGCGCAGUGGGUGUUUGUUGAACAGAUAAGAGACAACAAAACAGACUAAGAAGAGGCCUGUUCUAUGAACCGGGGAAAGUGAAGGAAUCACAAAGAGCGGCUCGCCUUAGGGCAAUCCUGGGGAAAAGAUGGAGAGGCAUGGAUUUUUCUUGGAUGUGUGCCUCAUCCUGGGGCUCAUCCCUCUGAGCAUCAAAUAUUCAUUGCAAAAGAGGGGGAAAAACUCUGCUGCGGACAAUGCUGGAUGGUCUGAUCUCUCCCUUGGCCAGAAUUAACGGGGCAAUUCCUAACCCCUGUUGGUCCUCAGAAUCACCUGGCCUAUGCACACUCCCGCUAAACCACUGAAGUCCAAUUUCUGGGAGCUCAGCCAGGGAAUGUGUAUUUUUAAACAAGCCCCCUAGGUUACUCUGAUAAGUGCAAAGUCAGAGAGCGCUGCUCUCAUGCACUGAGCCUGAGCACUCUUCUAUUAAUAAAAAAGGAGAGGAGAAUCCUGGGUUGGGUGCCCUUCGCCUUCUGGCGGCAGAAGAGCAGAGCCAGGCUCUAAGCACCUGCACCCACCGCUGGGCUCAGGAGCUGCGCUGGAGAAUAGAAGGGCUAAUUUAGUCAUUCAUGCCUUUUUAGAGCAAAUUACAUGUGGAGAGGGUGGGGCACACUGAAUUUUAUUUUAGCCAAAUGCCCCUUAUCUCCUUAUGCAAUUGAUAUUUUUAUAUUGAACAUUAGAGGAUUGGUCAUUUGUCAUCAAGUCGUCUGUAAUACAGAAAACGAUAAAUACAACCUAACAGUUCAAACAUGACGAGUUAAAUAAAUGAUGGUUAAAAAUAUACGCUGCGAUAAUAUUUAAUUGCUGUUACCACUACGAAGAUAAGUGUCGACUGACAUGGAAAUAUGUUCAGGUCAAACAAAUAAAUGAAAAGGCAGGCCUGGACACAG